rnacentral:rRNA from 1 species
AUUGAACGCUGGCGGCAGGCCUAACACAUGCAAGUCGAACGAUAACAGGAAGACGCUUGCUUCUUUGCUGCCGAGUGGCGGGCGGGUGAGUCAUGUCUGGGAAACUGCCUGAUGGAGGGGGAUAACUACUGGAAACGGUAGCUAUUACCGCAUAACGUCGCAAGACCAAAAAGGGGGACUUUAGGGCCUCUUGCCUUCGGCUGUGCCCUGAUUGGAUUAGCUAGUAGGUGGGGUAACGGCUCACCUAGGCGACGAUCCGUAGCUGGUCUGAGAGGUUGACCAGCCACACUGGAACUGAGACACGGUCCAGACUCCUACGGGAGGCAGCAGUGGGGAAUAUUGCACAAUGGGCGCAAGCCUGAUGCAGCAAUGCCGCGUGUAUGAAGAAGGCCUUCGGGUUGUAAAGUACUUUUAGCGGGGAGGAAGGGAGUAAAGUUAAAACCUGUGCUCAUUGACGUUACCCGCAGAAGAAGCACCGGCUAACUCCGUG